UAUUCUGCUUACGUUCUAUGACACGGCUUACUUGAUGCGGAGUGCCGACGUGGAGGAGACUAGGGUGCCUUGGUGGUGGGAUCCCUUGAGUGUACACACCUGCCUUGUUUAGUUUAUUA